rnacentral:rRNA from 1 species
UACGGGGGGGCAAGCGUUGUUCGGAAUUACUGGGCGUAAAGGGUUCGUAGGUGGCCAACUAAGUCAUACGUGAAAUCCCUCAGCUUAACUGGGGAACUGCGUCUGAUACUGGUUGGCUUGAGUGCAGGAGAGGAACGCGGAAUUCCAGGUGUAGCGGUGAAAUGCGUAGAUAUCUGGAGGAACACCGGUGGCGAAGGCGGCAUCCUGGACCGGCAUUGACGCUGAGGCGCGAAAGCCAGGGAGCAAAGCGGG